rnacentral:rRNA from 1 species
GAUGAACGCUGGCGGCGUGCCUAAUACAUGCAAGUCGAGCGAACAGACGAGGAGCUUGCUCCUCUGACGUUAGCGGCGGACGGGUGAGUAACACGUGGAUAACCUACCUAUAAGACUGGGAUAACUUCGGGAAACCGGAGCUAAUACCGGAUAAUAUAUUGAACCGCAUGGUUCAAUAGUGAAAGACGGCUUUGCUGUCUCUUAUAGACGGAUCCGCGCCGCAUUAGCUAGUUGGUAAGGUAACGGCUUACCAAGGCAACGAUGCGUAGCCGACCUGAGAGGGUGAUCGGCCACACUGGAACUGAGACACGGUCCAGACUCCUACGGGAGGCAGCAGUAGGGAAUCUUCCGCAAUGGGCGAAAGCCUGACGGAGCAACGCCGCGUGAGUGAUGAAGGUCUUCGGAUCGUAAAACUCUGUUAUUAGGGAAGAACAAAUGUGGAAGUAACUAUGCACGUCUUGACGGUACCUAAUCAGAAAGCCACGGCUAACUACGUG